GAUGAAGAACGUAGCGAAAUGCGAUAAGUAAUGCGAAUUGCAGAUUUCAGUGAAUCAUCGAAUCUUUGAACGCACAUUGCGCCCGCCAGUAUUCUGGCGGGCAUGCCUGUUCGAGCGUCAUUUCAACCAUCAAGCCCCCGGCUUGUGUUGGGGACCUGCGGCUGCCGCAGGCCCUGAAAAGCAGUGGCGGGCUCGCUGUCACACCGAGCGUAGUAGCAUACAUCUCGCUCUGGGCGUGCUGCGGGUUCCGGCCGUUAAACCACCUUCAUAACCCAAGGUUGACCUCGGAUCAGGUAGGAAGACCCGCUGAACUUAAGCAUAUCAAUAAGCGGAGGA
rnacentral:misc_RNA from 1 species